ensembl:lncRNA
GGUAGAUGAAACCUUUUAUCUUUGAAAGUUUUGAAUAUUGUCAAUGUUUUCAGCCAGGACACUGGACUAAAAGACAGAUGAAUGUGCUCAGCAGACAGUGGCAAGGUCCAUUUUGCUGUGUAACAUACACAUGCUGCAGGUACUGGCUGAACAUAAUCUCCUGGAAAACAAGGCAAUCUUUAUUGGUUCAGCAGAAGGGCAGAGACCCACCCCAUGCCUAUGAAACCUGAAGACCUUUUCCCCAAGCAUUUCCCCUCCUCAGCAUUCUCCCUGCUGCUCUUUGCACAGUGAAGAGGUCUAGAACAACUUUAUUUAGAGAAAGGGAUGCAGGCAUCAUUUUGGUAUUCUGGAUGUGAGGAAGAACUUCUUUAUUGUGAGGGUGACUGAGCACUGGAACACGUUGUCCAGAGAAGUCGUGGAGUCUCCUUGUCUGGAGAUAUUAAAAAGCUGUCUGGACACAAUCCUGGGUAGAGCUGUAAGGGAUCCUGCUUGAGCUGGGAGGUUGGAAAAGAUGACCUCCAGUGAUGCCUUCCAAACCUGAACCAUUCCAUGACUGUGAUUUUCUGAUACUCCUUUUCCCAAUGUAAAGGUGCUGAGAUAAUUACAAUGCUGAGCACAAAUAUUUGAGUAGAUGGGAGACAGAUGACUCAGUAAGAUCAAUCUAUUGAUCUCAAGAUUUUUUAAGUAUUUAAGUGCCAUGCAAGAAUUAAAGGUAUUUCUGAGUAUACAGUAAAUGGCUUUAUUCUGACAAGCUCUUUUGUUUAUUUUUUACAUGACAGAGAAUGAGAAUGUCAUUGAACUUGGAAUAUCUUUUAGGAAAAAACAAGUGUUCAGCAGCCUGUUUGAUGCUGACAGCCUUGAGCAGGGUUCCCACCAGCCAGGGGCAGCAGUUGACUUCACACCAUUUCAUCCACUGGACACAUCACCGGAUCUAUCUCAUGUGACUUUGGACCCCAUUCAAUUCCUAAAGUUCAGCUGUGUCUAUCAGGAAAAUCCCGUCCUCUCUGCAAGCAGUCUCACUUGAGGCUAUUGAACUGUCUUCACAAACAAGGAUCUGCACAGUCACAUUGUGUACCCACUGAGCAAGCUCAUAUGGACAGCAGGGAAGUCACUGCACUCCCCAGAGCACAGGUGAGGCUGCGGUCCCUGUACUUGCAUCCAUGCUUCCAUAGUUUGCUCUUUCCAUUGAGAAAAAAUGUCUUUCAUCAGUGGUCUCUGCUGCACAAAUCUUGGUCAAGCAUUUUCAAAAGGGAGGCUUGGUGCAUCUCUGUUUCCAUGGGCAUGUUCACGGAGCCAAGAGCCAUGAUGUCAGCAGGCACGGACAUACUGUACUGGAACUGAGGAAACCAGCUUGGGCAGUGGCAGCAGCACACUGUGGCGCUGGGAGUUUGGGAUAAAUUGGGCAGAUCUGCCUAGAAAUGGCAAGUGCAUUCAGAGGUAGCUGUUAUGCACUAAGGACCAUACGCAGAGCAUCCUUCUGGCGGCACCCCAAGGGCAGAGGUGUCUCUGUCCUUGCUGCAGGGACACCUCCUAUUUCAGUGUGGGUGGUUUCUGCUGCUAGACACAACAUCAGUGUGUUGAGACUGUGGGGAUAUGAUGCAAAAGUAAACAUUUACAAGUCAGUUUAAAUAGGUAGUAAUGGCCACUAAUUAUGUGAAUCAAAUAAAAUAACUGGUAUUUGAAUGAUUGACCUUUAA